GAGGUGGCUCAGCCGCGGGGGACGCCAGGCCGCCUCCCCUGACUACAAGGCAGCUUCUCUCAUAAUUAACUCGACUUCCCGGGAUGCCAGGGAGAAGGGGUACCCGCAGAAAGGAGGCCCAAGGUUGAUUUCAGCCCACCAGGAUCUGGGGAAGACCCAGCUAGGGAUAAGAGCACACCAAAAGGCCAAGUCCGAGUUCCAUUCCUAGAAGAGGCGGCUGCAGACAAGGCUAUGACAUUGGCCCUGGACAUUGGUUUCCCAGGAGCUGCUUUUUCUCAAGAACUCCACAGCACGGGGCUGUCUCCAGAAAACGCUCUUCAACGUUUAUUUCUUUUAAUCGUCGCCCGGAGCCCUAAGGCGGCUAAUGCAAGAGGCCAAAAAUGUUUGGAGGAAGAAAAACAAAGGCAGGAAGUGGCCGCGGCCUGACGGUGCGUGUGUGUCUGUAAAAGAGGGAGGGAGCCGGUUCAACCUCCCCUCGUUUUCCCGAACUUCAAGGUCUAGGCAGACCCCCUUAGGGCCUUGCCAAGGCUCCCCCCACACUCCCCCCCCCCCCGGCGGCGCAACGUUUGGAGGUGGCCAACGAUUUAAGCCUCGGUCGGGCUGAAAGGAGAUUUGAUCGGCAGAACAAACCAACCCUUUUCGGAGGUUUCUUUUGAUUUGGUCCUAAAGGGUAUAUACUAGUGCCCACAGCGGCUGGGGGUGGCUGCUGUUUUCCUCCCGCCGGGCUAAAAGUACCAAGAAGGGAGGGAGGGAGAGAGAUUCAGGCACCUUGCGCUGGCUGCACUCUCCUUCUGAGAUAGAAUAUCAGAAUAAAGUGUAUUCAGGUGCCUCUGCUGAA
rnacentral:lncRNA from 1 species